GCCCUCGUAGUUCAGUGGAGAGAACGGCGGUUCCCUACACCGCGUCGUCGCAGGUUCGAAUCCUGUCGAGGGCUCCA
rnacentral:tRNA from 1 species